GUACCGCUGAGGAGUCCCAAACUAGGGCGAAACACCUGUCCAGUAC
rfam:Trichobilharzia regenti genome assembly, scaffold: TRE_scaffold0039645